ACCAUGUAAUAGUUUCUAAUGAUAAAUAUUUACAUAAAAAAACAUCAUGAAGUGAUCAUUCUAGUUCUUACCAUGCUGUGGGAUUAGUUUAUUCAAAGUUCACACUUGCAUUCUCUGGACUGAGUUACUUCAGCUUGGACCUACGUGAAACAGAUCCUGUUUCUUUACAAAAUGCUAGAAUGAGAAGAGUAGAAUGAGAUAUCAUCAGUUCUAAGGAAAUGAUACUCAAGCUUUCCUAGAAGAGGAUCCCAGGAAAUUAAACUCAACUCAAAGUGGUUGGACAGAAAUCCAGUAUGAAUCAUAUAAGACAGAUUUAGAAGCACGUGAAGAUAAAUGUUUCCCAUGUGACACAGAGCAGCACAUCUGGAAGGAGCUUAGCUGCCCCAAGGAGGAAGCAAGAUUUGUGUGCAUUAGAAAUAAAUGAACUUCUGGAGAUAGGAUCUGCUUUGUUGAGAAAACAAGUCUUGGAGAAAGACAUCAGGCCUCUAGUUGAACGGAGCCGUGACCUCACCAGAAAUCCCAAAGCAGAAAAGUUUGUCAGAAAAAUAGCACCAGACCACAGAGGCCAAGAAGGUGGAGAGAAUUUCUGACUCUAAAAAAAGCUUUUUCCUCUAAAAUUUGGAGCAAGACAAUGAUGCCCAUUUUCACAACUUCUUGACAUAGUAGUGAAAGUCCUUUCUAGAACAAUUAGGUAAAAGAAAGCAAGAAAAGACAUCCAAAUAGGAAAGGAGGAAGUCAAAUUGUUCCUGUUUGAAGAUGACAUGAUCUAUACAUAGAAAACUCUAAAGACACCACCAAAAAACUGGUGGUUUUUUAAUAUUAAAAAAAUCAGCGGUGUUUUCAUACACCAAUAGUGAACUAUCUGUGAAAGAAAUGAAGAAAGUAAUUCCAUUUACCGUUGCUGCAAAUAAAUACCUAUGAAUAAAUCUAACCA
rnacentral:lncRNA from 13 species